rnacentral:rRNA from 1 species
UACGUAGGGGGCAAGCGUUGUCCGGAAUCAUUGGGCGUAAAGAGCGUGUAGGCGGCCUGGUAAGUCCGCUGUGAAAGUCCAGGGCUCAACCCUGGAAUGCCGGUGGAAACUGUCAGGCUCGAGUCCGGAAGAGGCGAGUGGAAUUCCUGGUGUAGCGGUGAAAUGCGCAGAUAUCGGUAGGAACACCAGUGGCGAAGGCGGUCUCCUGGGGCAUUCUUGACACUGAUGCGCGAAAGCUGGGGGAGCAAACGGG